GACGGAGGAUGCAAGCGUUAUCCGGAAUGAUAGGGCGUAAAGCGUCCGCAGGUGGCAGUUCAAGUCUGCUGUCAAAGACCGGGGCUUAACUUCGGAAAGGCAGUGGAAACUGAACAGCUAGAGUAUGGUAGGGGCAGAGGGAAUUCCUGGUGUAGCGGUGAAAUGCGUAGAGAUCAGGAAGAACAUCGGUGGCGAAGGCGCUCUGCUGGACCAUAACUGACACUCAGGGACGAAAGCUAGGGGAGCGAAUAGG
rnacentral:rRNA from 1 species